rnacentral:rRNA from 1 species
GUCUGCAACCCGACUCCACGAAGUUGGAUUCGCUAGUAAUCGCGCAUCAGCCAUGGCGCGGUGAAUACGUUCCCGGGCCUUGUACACACCGCCCGUCAAGCCAUGGGAGCCGGGGGCGCCUGAAGUCCGGGACCGCGAGGACCGGCCUAGGGCGAAACUGGUGACUGGGGCUAAGUCGUAACAAGGUAGC